ensembl:miRNA
UAUGGCUUUCUAUUCCUAUGUGAUUUCUCUCUGCUAUGUCAUGUAGGGUUUAAAGCCAUUG